GGGCUGGGGCUCAGGGGCAGAGCGCUUGCCUCAUAUGUGUGAGGCACUGGGUUCGAUCCUCAGCACCACA
rnacentral:tRNA from 1 species